rnacentral:rRNA from 1 species
GCUUACGGCCACACCGCCUGGUUCACGCCCGAUCUCGUUUGAUCUCGGAAGCUAAGAUAGGUUGGGCCUGGUUAGUACUUGGAUGGGAGACCGCCUGGGAAUACCAGGUGCUGUAACGC